rnacentral:lncRNA from 1 species
UGCUCAAAUUUUUAAGCAUAUCAAAAAAUGAAGUCAAUGAAAACUCCAUCUGAAUAAAAGAGAAACAAAACUUGGCCAUUUAAUUCAUUUCAUCUGCAAUGCUUUGUCAGUGUUUACAAAAGAAUAUCCAAAUAAUUCAUGGCUGCACAAAAGAAAACUGCACAAUCAUUUAUCUCAAUGUGCGUCUUUCACAACUUCUUGUAUUAGAUAUGCUUUCAGACUUCUUAUUUUCCAUUCAUUUAACUAGUUUGUUUUUUAUUUUCUCUAUUUCCAUUUGUGACAAAAUCCACCAUGACAUCAUUAUAUCAAGUCAAAAUGCUCAAAGUUAGUAAUGAGUAGUAACAUGAAUUUUGGUAGUUACAUAGUCCCAUUAUUAGUAUUUUUAAUCAAUAAAAUUAUUAAGAUUGAUAAAAUAGCAUGAAAAGAAGUAAAUGAUACAUAAAAAGUACUCUAAAUGAAACCUCAAAUUAAAACUCCAAAACAAAGAGAGCAUAAAUGUUAUAAUAAUAGUGGCUAGCAAGUUUGGAAUUGGAUGCUUUUGUUGAAGUGGAAUUAAAAAAAAAAAAAAAAAUUAAAAAGGAACACGGUUUUUGUACAAAGAUUUUUCAGCCAAGCUGUAAGGAAUAUAGCAUAUUGUGUUGAAAAGUAGUUCUAAUUGUCAAGCCGCUUUUGGGUUUUAAAGAAUUCUUUUCCAUGUCUGCUUUUUGUGGUUUUGGUCGAUUUUUAUUAUUAUUAUUAUUAUUUUUCCAACUAGAAACAUGCUUUUAUGUCAUUAGAUCAUUAUUUCUUUUGCACUCUCUACCAUUGUAAGAUAAAUAUGGAAGCUAAAGGAAAAGACUAUUAACAUUAAGUUCAUCAGAAAACUAAAUCCGGGUGUAUCGAAGAAGAAAAGUACAUUUUCAUCAUAAAACUAAAUAUGGGUGUAUCAAAGAAGGAAGGUACAUUUAUUGACUAAAGAUCAUACUUACGAUUUAUCUAAGAGAAAAGUUUAUUUAUACACAAAGCACACAUUAAUCAAUCAUCACAUGAAACAAUUCACCGUUUAAAUAUUACCAUAAAAUCAUCUACACACAAAUCACAGAACACGAUUUUAGAUUGUUGAGAAAAUUGGGUGAUUUGUGUGUAGAUAAAUUAUUAAUUAACAUAAUUAAUUAAAUAAUAUAAACAUAUUUCAAAAAUAAUAUGUACAUAAGAAUAUGAUAACAUUAUAAUUCAAUAGUAUGAAAAGAGUUAAAAUGCAAGUCUUGGGAGUCAUGUCGAAAAUGCUGUCCUAAAUUCGUGUUGUCUCCUCCUCGUGUGGGUACUUUCGGUGCUACAUGGCUUCAAGAUAAAAUACAUGUGGUUCACAGUCGGCUCUCCUUCUAUGUGCACGACCAUAAGGAAAUAAGUGAAUGAACCUUUAUCGAGUUGCAAAAACUAUAUAAAAUAAUAUAAAAGUGUAGAUUGUAUUCUAUCAAUUUAUCCUUUUUAUGUUAUAUUUAAAGCCAUGAAAAUCACUCCCUUUUAUAGGGACAAAUAUAACCCCCACAUUAAUGAAAAUAAUAAGUUAUAAUCCAUUAAUCAUAAGUUUCAAAUUUUUAUUAAAAUGUAAAUUGAAAAUUAAAAAUUAAAAUUACGUUUAAUUUUGAAAUUUAAAACUUAUUAUUAUUUAUGUCGCAUUUUAUGUUUACAUAUUGUUGGGUUUUAGAGAUUUUGAAGAAUAUGAGAUUUGCAAAUCUGGGUCAUAGUUCACAGAGCAUAGAGAUAUUAGAGAUGUUACACUUUUGUUAUUGAUCAAUGAAUCAUAUUAUUUUGAAAAUUUAUG